GGGUUUCAGCAACACAUACACUAAAACUGGAAUGAUACAGAGAUUAGCAGAGCCCCUGAGGAAGGAUGGCAUGCAGAUCCAUGAAGCAUUCCACAUGUAC
rnacentral:snRNA from 1 species